UACGUAGGUGGCAAGCGUUGUCCGGAUUUACUGGGCGUAAAGGGUGCGUAGGUGGAUAUUUAAGUCAGAUGUGAAACCCCUGGGCUCAACUCAGGGACUGCAUUUGAAACUGGAUAUCUGGAGUGCAGGAGAGGUAAGUGGAAUUCCUAGUGUAGCGGUGAAAUGCGUAGAGAUUAGGAAGAACACCAGUGGCGAAGGCGACUUACUGGACUGUAACUGACACUGAGGCACGAAAGCGUGGGUAG
rnacentral:rRNA from 2 species